GUGUGUAUGUGUAUGUAUUCAGCAGGAUAACCUGGUUUUUAUGGUUCUCUCUGUAGGGGAAGCUAUAAGAAGAUUGGGUACUAUGACAGCUCCAAGGGGAAUCUGUCCUGGUUUGGCAAUGACAAAUGGAUAGGUCCCGGGCCUCCAGCAGAUCAGACAGUGGUCAUUGAGGAGUUCCGCUUCCUCUCUCAGAAGCUGUUUGUGUCCGUGUCGGUCUUCGCCGGCCUUGGGAUCCUGCUGGGCAUCGUGUGCCUCACGUUCAACGUCUACAACAGCAACAUUCGGUACAUACAGAACUCCCAGCCCUACCUGAAUAACAUGAAGGGUGUG